rnacentral:lncRNA from 1 species
GAAUGGAUUGAUCACUGUCCUCCAUGACGAUCCUUCGAUUGAGAAUAUUUAAAAAUUAACCACUAAUGAUGUAUGUCUCAAAUUUUCAAUGCUUUAAAAAUAUAUAAAAUUAUCUUUAUUAAUUUUUAGGAUAAAUCAUGGACACAUAAGGCAUGAUUGGUUAUAAAGACUGCCCAUCAAGUACAAAAUAUACCCUAGAGAAAGGUAUGUGUCAGCCAAGAUUGACUUUUAGGGUACACAUCUAACAAUCUUCUCCAUAAAUAUUAAGUCCAUAGGUCUUCCACCAUUGUAGAUGUGUGGGCAUGGUACUGGUGUUGAUUGUUCUCGACUGC